rnacentral:rRNA from 1 species
AGUGAACGCUGGCGGUAGGCCUAACACAUGCAAGUCGAACGGCAGCACAGUAAGAGCUUGCUCUUACGGGUGGCGAGUGGCGGACGGGUGAGGUAUACAUCGGAAUCUACUUUUUCGGGGGGGAUAACGUAGGGAAACUUACGCUAAUACCGCAUACGACCUACGGGUGAAAGCAGGGGAUCGUCUGACCUUGCGCGAUUGAAUGAGCCGAUGUCGGAUUAGCUAGUUGGCGGGGUAAAGGCCCACCAAGGCGACGAUCCGUAGCUGGUCUGAGAGGAUGAUCAGCCACCCUGGAACUGAGACACGGUCCAGACUCCUACGGGAGGACGCAGUGGGGAAUAUUGGACAAUGGGCGCGAGCCUGAUCCAGCCAUACCGCGUGGGUGAAGAAGGCCUUCGGGUUGUAAAGCCCUUUUGUUGGGAAAGAAAAGCAGCAGGUUAAUACCCCGCUGUUCUGACGGUACCCAAAGAAUAAGCACCGGCUAACUUCGUG